rnacentral:rRNA from 1 species
AGUGGCGAACGGCUGAGUAACGCGUAGGUGACCUACCCCGUAGUGAGGAAUAACUGCCCGAAAGGGUAGCUAAUACCUCAUGUUGAGACGCUUUCAUUAGCGUCUCCAAAGCAGCAAUGCGCUAUGGGCGGGGCCUGCGUUCGAUUAGCUAGUUGGUGAGGUAAUGGCUCACCAAGGCGACGAUCGAUAGGUGGUCUGAGAGGACGAUCACCCAGACUGGGACUGAGACACGGCCCAGACUCC